rnacentral:tRNA from 1 species
ACCUGGAUGGCUCAGUCGGUUAAGCAUCUGACUUCAGCUCAGGUCAUGAUUUUGUUGUUCGUGGGUUUGAACCCCGCACCAGGCU